rnacentral:rRNA from 1 species
AGUGGCGAACGGGUGAGUAACACGUGAGCAACCUGCCCUGGACUCUGGGAUAAGCGCUGGAAACGGCGUCUAAUACUGGAUAUGAGCUCUCAUCGCAUGGUGGGGGUUGGAAAGAUUUUUUGGUCUGGGAUGGGCUCGCGGCCUAUCAGCUUGUUGGUGAGGUAAUGGCUCACCAAGGCGUCGACGGGUAGCCGGCCUGAGAGGGUGACCGGCCACACUGGGACUGAGACACGGCCCAGACUCCUACGGGAGGCAGCAGUGGGGAAUAUUGCACAAUGGGCGGAAGCCUGAUGCAGCAACGCCGCGUGAGGGAUGACGGCCUUCGGGUUGUAAACCUCUUUUAGCAGGGAAGAAGCGAGAGUGACGGUACCUGCAGAAAAAGCGCCGGCUAACUACGUGCCAGCAGCCGCGGUAAUACGUAGGGCGCAAGCGUUAUCCGGGAAUUAUUGGGCGUAAAGAGCUCGUAGGCGGUUUGUCGCGUCUGCUGUGAAAUCCCGAGGCUCAACCUCGGGCCUGCAGUGGGUACGGGCAGACUAGAGUGCGGUAGGGGAGAUUGGAAUUCCUGGUGUAGCGGUGGAAUGCGCAGAUAUCAGGAGGAACACCGAUGGCGAAGGCAGAUCUCUGGGCCGUAACUGACGCUGAGGAGCGAAAGGGUGGGGAGCAAACAGGCUUAGAUACCCUGGUAGUCCACCCCGUAAACGUUGGGAACUAGUUGUGGGGACCAUUCCACGGUUUCCGUGACGCAGCUAACGCAUUAAGUUCCCCGCCUGGGGAGUACGGCCGCAAGGCUAAAACUCAAAGGAAUUGACGGGGACCCGCACAAGCGGCGGAGCAUGCGGAUUAAUUCGAUGCAACGCGAAGAACCUUACCAAGGCUUGACAUACACCAGAACAUCGUAGAAAUACGGGACUCUUUGGACACUGGUGAACAGGUGGUGCAUGGUUGUCGUCAGCUCGUGUCGUGAGAUGUUGGGUUAAGUCCCGCAACGAGCGCAACCCUCGUUCUAUGUUGCCAGCACGUAAUGGUGGGAACUCAUGGGANUACUGCCGGGGUCAACUCGGAGGAAGGUGGGGAUGACGUCAAAUCAUCAUGCCCCUUAUGUCUUGGGCUUCACGCAUGCUACAAUGGCCGGUACAAAGGGCUGCAAUACCGUGAGGUGGAGCGAAUCCCAAAAAGCCGGUCCCAGUUCGGAUUGAGGUCUGCAACUCGACCUCAUGAAGUCGGAGUCGCUAGUAAUCGCAGAUCAGCAACGCUGCGGUGAAUACGUUCCCGGGUCUUGUACACACCGCCCGUCAAGUCAUGAAAGUCGGUAACACCUGAAGCCGGUG